rnacentral:rRNA from 1 species
GAGUGAAGCGGCAAUAGCUCAAAUUUGAAAUCUGGCUCUCUUUGGGGGUCCGAGUUGUAAUUUGCAGAGGGUGCUUUGGCGUUGACGGCGGUCUAAGUUCCUUGGAACAGGACAUCGCAGAGGGUGAGAAUCCCGUUUGUGGUCGCCAGUCUUCACCGUGUAAAGCCCCUUCGACGAGUCGAGUUGUUUGGGAAUGCAGCUCUAAAUGGGAGGUAAAUUUCUUCUAAAGCUAAAUACCGGCCAGAGACCGAUAGCGCACAAGUAGAGUGAUCGAAAGAUGAAAAGCACUUUGGAAAGAGAGUCAAAUAGCACGUGAAAUUGUUGAAAGGGAAGCGCUUGCAGCCAGACUUGCCUGUAGUUGCUCAUCCGGGCUCUUGCCCGGAGCACUCUUCUGCAGGCAGGCCAGCAUCAGUUUGGGCGGCUGGAUAAAGACCUCUGUCAUGUAUCUUCCUUCGGGAUGACCUUAUAGGGGAGGUGUAAUGCAGUCAGCCUGGACUGAGGUCCGCGCAUUUGCUAGGAUGCUGGCGUAAUGGCUGUAAGCGGCCCGUCUUGAAACACGGACCAAGGAGUCUAACAUCUAUGCGAGUGUUUGGGUGUCAAGCCCGGGCGCGCAAUGAAAGUGAACGGAGGUGGGAACCCUCUCGGGGGUGCACCAUCGACCGAUCCUGAUGUCUUCGGAUGGAUUUGAGUAAGAGCAUAGCUGUUGGGACCCGAAAGAUGGUGAACUAUGCUUGAAUAGGGUGAAGCCAGAGGAAACUCUGGUGGAGGCUCGCAGCGGUUCUGACGUGCA